UACGAAGGGGGCUAGCGUUGCUCGGAAUUACUGGGCGUAAAGCGCACGUAGGCGGGUCCUUAAGUCAGGGGUGAAAUCCUGGAGCUCAACUCCAGAACUGCCUUUGAUACUGAGGAUCUCGAGUUCGGGAGAGGUGAGUGAAACUGCGAGUGUAGAGGUGAAAUUCGUAGAUAUUCGCAAGAACACCAGUGGCGAAGGCGGCUCACUGGCCCGAUACUGACGCUGAGGUGCGAAAGCGUGGGGAGCAAACAGG
rnacentral:rRNA from 1 species